GACGAACGCUGGCGGCGUGCCUAAUACAUGCAAGUCGAACGCAGUGGGGACGGGUGCGUAACACGUGGGUAACCUCCCAUCAGAGGGGAUAAAACUUGGAAACAGGUGCUAAACCGAUACUGAUGGAUGGACCCGCGGUGCAUUAGGUAGUUGGUGAGGUAAAGGCUCACCAAGGCCACGGGGCAUAGCCGACCUGAGAGGGUGAGCGGCCACACUGGGACUGAGACACGGCCCAGACUCCUACGGGAGGCAGCAGUAGGGAAUCUUCGGCAAUGGACGAAAGUCUGACCGAGCAACGCCGCGUGAGUGAAGAAGGUUUUCGGAUCGUAAAGCUCUGUUGUUAGAGAAGCGGUAUCUAACCAGAAAGCCACGGCUAACUACGUGCCAGCAGCCGCGGUAAUAC
rnacentral:rRNA from 1 species